AACGCCACCCAGGAUCACUCAAUAAAGCCAUGUUGUUUGGCCCCUCCCUCCCUCCCUCCCUCCCUCCCUCCCUCUCUCUCUCUGUUUCUUUUGCUGCCAGAAAACUUUACAUUUGGUGCCAAAAUCUUGGAGGAGUGCCUUGGCUACGCCGGCCUGCCUCAGGGCCAUGGUCGCGAGGUCCCCUCUCACAUCUUCCUGACCUUGGACCAGGACCUCCACUAGAUGGCAGUUGGCUAAGUGGCCUGGUUCCUCCAGCACCGCCUACAAGAGCUGUUACGAAUGGCAGUAAACCAACUACUUCUUCACCCAUACUUCCCUCUACCAGUCACCCUUCCACCAGCCGACCCCGGCCUACAGCCCCUAACUACACCCCGUCCUAGCAGGAAGUAGUCAGAAAGAGUGGCACCCAUCAUAACCAAAAGGCCGUAAUGUAAGGCUGGUGGCAGACCCUCUUCUCCUCCCUAGAUCAAAAAGAAAAGGGUCACAAGACCAGACCCUCCAAGGACAACUGCCAGGCCCCGCUGAAAACAACAACAUCUGGAUGUCAACCCAGAGAAGAAAGUUUUCGGUUCCUGGAUUCUGCAAAUACCGCCAGCACCUCCUAUUUCUUAAUAACCACGCAAGGUCAUACUGGAAAAUCCCCAGCUCUUCCCUCGAAAAGUCCCUAGCCUGCCCCGAACAGUAUAAAGGCCCGCACCCCCUCCAAAUGGAAGCGACUUCUCAGCUCCCCUCUCUUGGGAUCAGAGAACAUAGCCCGGGAGCGCUCAAUAAAGCCAUGUUGUUUGCCCCACCCCUGUUUCUUUCGAGGCAACUUUA